UGUGUUAGUGACCCCCCUAAUAGGUGUGACUGGGAAACCGUGUGUGUUAGUGACACUACACCCCCCUAUAGUUGUGACUGGGAAACCGUGUGUGUUAGUGACACUACACCCCCCUAUAGUUGUGACUGGGAAACCGUGUGUGUUAGUGACACUACACCCCCCUAUAGUUGUGACUGGGAAACCGUGUGUUUUAGUGACACUACACCCCCCUAUAGUUGUGACUGGGAAACCAUGUGUGUUAGUGACACUACACCCCCCUCCCCCCUAUAGGUGUGACUGGGAAACCGUGUGUGUUAGUGACACUACACCCCCCUAUAGGUGUGACUGGGAAACCGUGUGUGUUAGUGACACUACACCCCCCUCCCUAUAGGUAUGACUGGGAAACCAUGUGUGUUAGUGACACUACACCCCUCUAUAGGUGUGACUGGGAAACCGUGUGUGUUAGUGACACUACACCCCCCUCCCCCCUAUAGGUGUGACUGGGAAACCGUGUGUGUUAGUGACACUAUACCCCCCUAUAGGUGUGACUGGGAAACCGUGUGUGUUAGUGACACUACACCCCCCUCCCUAUAGGUGUGACUGGGAAACCGUGUGUGUUAGUGACACUACACCCCACUAUAGGUGUGACUGGGAAACCGUGUGUGUUAGUGACACUACACCCCCUAUAGUUGUGACUGGGAAACCGUGUGUGUUAGUGACACUACACCCCUCUAUAGGUGUGACUGGGAAACCGUGUGUGUUAGUGACACUACACCCCACUAUAGGUGUGACUGGGAAACCGUGUGUGUUAGUGACACUACACCCCCUAUAGUUGUGACUGGGAAACCGUGUGUGUUAGUGACACUACACCCCUCUAUAGGUGUGACUGGGAAACCGUGUGUGUUAGUGACACUACACCCCUCUAUAGGUGUGACUGGGAAACCGUGUGUGUUAGUGACACUACACCCCUCUAUAGGUGUGACUGGGAAACCGUGUGUGUUAGUGACACUACACCCCUCUAUAGGUGUGACUGGGAAACUGUGUGUGUUAGUGACACUACACCCCCCUAUAGUUGUGACUGGGAAACCGUGUGUGUUAGUGACACUACACCCCUCUAUAGGUGUGACUGGGAAACCGUGUGUGUUAGUGACACUACACCCCCCUCCCCCCUAUAGGUGUGACUGGGAAACCGUGUGUGUUAGUGACACUACACCCCCCUCCCCCCUAUAGGUGUGACUGGGAAACCAUGUGUGUUAGUGACACUACACCCCCCUCCCCCCUAUAGGUGUGACUGGGAAACCAUGUGUGUUAGUGACACUACACCCCCCUCCCCCCUAUAGGUGUGACUGGAAAACCAUGUGUGUUAGUGACACUAAACCCCUCUCCCCCCUAUAGGUGUGACUGGGAAACCGUGUGUGUUAGUGACACUACACCCCCCUAUAGGUGUGACUGGGAAACCGUGUGUGUUAGUGACACUACACCCCCCUAUAGGUGUGACUGGGAAACCGUGUGUGUUAGUGACACUACACCCCCCUAUAGGUGUGACUGGGAAACCGUGUGUGUUAGUGACCCCCCCUAUAGGUGUGACUGGGAAACCGUGUGUGUUAGUGACCCCCCCUAUAGGUGUGACUGGGAAACCAUGUUUGUUUGUGACCCCCUAUAGGUGUGACUGGGAAACCAUGUUUGUUUGUGACCCCCCCCUAUAGGUGUGACUGGGAAACCAUGUUUGUUUGUGACCCACCCCCC